CGACAGGACAUGUCCACACACGUCCCCGUGCUGUUGGCGCUCCGCCUCUCCUCCCGCUCACGUGAACUAGAAUUAGUAAAGUGGAACUGGGAAAUGUUGUCAUCAUUGGACGCACACUCAUUCAUCACAGUUGAUAAAGCUGUCAAGAUCACGCGAAGCACUUGGAAAAGGCCUCAGGGCCCUUCUGGACAUAUUUGAUGACCAGGAAAUACAGCUGACGUGCUUGCACAAAGAAAGGCCACAUAUCUCAGAAGUCUGACCUUCUUCAUGAGGGAGGACAACCCUCUGAAGACAUGUCUGGAUACAGACUCGAAGGAAAUGUGGGUCAAAGGGGAUGAACUCAUUGUCAUCUGUGACUUGACAACUGCCUUCAUCCUUCUGCUUGGACUUAUCUACUCUCUCAACUUGGACUACCCCAUAGAAUUGCAAACUUGAGUCCUUUCAUGAACUUUGGUACGGAGUGCUCAGGCUCUGAACAACAUUUUUUUGUUGUAGCCAGCCAUGAAAACACACGCACACACCCAUACAUUCAUGUCAGUGUGUUUUAACCAUCCUAUCUGUAUUCAGUGUUUCUUCUCUGCUGGAAUUGUUUCUCAAAAAAGUUAAAACAUAAAUGGUAGGUAUGAAGUAAUGAUCCUUUGCUAAAAGGGAUGGUUAACCAAAACAGGAAAUUACGCUGUUGAAUGUUGAGGUGUCUGGACACUUCGAUGACAACACAGGAGCAGUAUGGAGGCAUGAAAUGUUAAAAAAUAUAUAAUUCUGGACUCUGGACACUUUAUCCACCCCUCUAUCAGCAUAGUGGUGAGUAGAUAAUGACUGAUUUUCAUUUUUCUGCAAACUAUCACUUUAAGUUUUAAUGUGUUGUUCUGUUACAUAUACAGUUUGACUUUCAUAGGCUUUGUUUUGAUAAGAAUUGUGCGAUGGAACCAUUAGGUUAACAGUGUCACUCAAAAUGUCUGCUGUUACAAUUGCAAUGUUGACUAUGU